AGAAGCCCAAGUUCUGAAGGAGCGUCCCGCAGACCCGUGACUCCUGCCACAGUCAGCAGGUUCAGCCAGAAGCAGACCCUGUGUCUCAACAAGAAAUUGCAUUUUCUCGUGAAACGCUGUACAAUCCCAAUGGCACUGCAAGAGAGCUCCCAAAGGGAAUCAUGAGCGGGAAGGAAAGGGACCCUGUGGAUAUAUCCAACACACUGGGCAUUAGCCCAGCUUCCGAGUGCACCUCUCUGUUAGCUCUGGAACUCGCUGCUGAGGUUUCCCACAUCUCUCUUGAACCAGAAAGAAGGGGCAACUGUUUUGACUAUCCCCAUUGAACUGGCUGUACCUCAGAAGUGAUCUUGUGAUGAGGACUU